AUCUUUUGCAUUGCACAACGGAUUUAUUAUAGUGUGGCGGUUCUAUACGAAUUAUGUUGUUAAGAAUCUUUGUUACGCUGUAUAUGUCUUUGUUAUUUUUUGCGGGUUCAAGAUCAAGGUAAAAUAAAUUUAGAAGAAUAAAUGUUGAUGGAUCACCAUGGGUUCCCAAGCCUUAUGAUCGCAUUUGCAGUGAACAUUUCAUUGGAGGAAAAAAAUCGGACGCCGUAUUGAGUCCUAGCUUCGUUCCGACAAUCUUCCCUGCAAUUUAUAAAACUCGAAAAGUUAGUGAAUCUACGAUUAUAAGCAGAUACAAGCGUUUAAUUACCCGUAAAAUAAAAAAAAAAUCACCUCCACCGUCAACUUCUGAACUCACUAUACAAGAACCAAUGCAAGUGAUAAAUGAAUGUGAACCUCCUCCGAUUGUAUCUCUAAAAGUUGACCAAGAGUGCCAAGUUGAUUUUUACUCAAGCUCCGAUGUCAACUCACAUACAUUUAUUUGCAACCGUUAUAUAACAAAUAAUUUAUGUCAUGCUGAAACUCAAACAGAAAUAGUUGUAGAUACUAGGCCGGUAAAAAUACAUGUUAGUAAUAAAAAAUUUGUUAAUAAAAAAACGCGGUAAUGAUCAAAAAACGUUUGCUGAUAAAGAAAGUCAAGCAGAUAAACUGAAAAUUUCAAGAGAUCAGUAAAUAACUUUGCGAAUAAUUGUAUUGUAGUAAUUUGGAUUAUGCUCAUAUCCUAAUUAUGUCUUUUAUCAUUAACAUAUAUUUAU